rnacentral:rRNA from 1 species
GACGAACGCUGGCGGCGUGCUUAACACAUGCAAGUCGAACGGAAAGGCCCUGUCUUUGUGGGGUGCUCGAGUAGCGAACGGGUGAGUAACACGUGAGUAACCUGCCCUUGACUUUGGGAUCACUUCAGGAAACUGGGGUUCAUACCGGAUAGGAGUUCCUGCUGCAUGGGGUGGGUAGGAACGUUUGGGCGGUUGGGGAUGGACUGGCGCCUUGUCAGUUGGUGGGUGGGGUACUGGCUAACAAAGGCUUUGACGGUUAGCCGGCCUGGGGGGGGGACCGGCAAAAUUGGGACUGAGAUCGGGCCCAGACUCCUACGGGAGGCAGCGGUGGGAAUUAUGGAACAAUGGCCGGAAGCCGGAGGAGGAAACGCCGGGUGCGGGAUACCGGCCUUCGGGUGGAAAACGGCUUUCGCAGGGGACGAGGCGUUUGUGACGGUAAUGGGUGAAGAAGCACCGGCUAACUACGUG